CUAGCCUUGACAUGUACGGAACCUCGAUGAAAGUUGAGGGUGCCCGAAAGGGAGCCGAUACACAGGUGCUGCAUGGCUGUCGUCAGCUCGUGUCGUGAGAUGUUGGGUUAAGUCCCGCAACGAGCGCAACCCUCGUCCUAUGUUGCCAGCACGUAAUGGUGGGAACUCAUGGGAUACUGCCGGGGUCAACUCGGAGGAAGGUGGGGAUGACGUCAAAUCAUCAUGCCCCUUAUGUCUUGGGCUUCACGCAUGCUACAAUGGCCGGUACAAAGGGCUGCAAUACCGCAAGGUGGAGCGAAUCCCAAAAAGCCGGUCCCAGUUCGGAUUGGGGUCUGCAACUCGACCUCAUGAAGUCGGAGUCGCUAGUAAUCGCAGAUCAGCAACGCUGCGGUGAAUACGUUCCC
rnacentral:rRNA from 1 species